rnacentral:rRNA from 1 species
CAGCACCUCAAGUGGUCAGGAUGAUUAUUGGGCCUAAAGCAUCCGUAGCCGGCUCAGUAAGUUUUCGGUUAAAUCUGUACGCUUAACGUACAGGCUGCCGGGAAUACUGCAGAACUAGGGAGUGGGAGAGGUAGACGGUACUCGGUAGGAAGGGGUAAAAUCCUUUGAUCUAUUGAUGACCACCUGUGGCGAAGGCGGUCUACCAGAACACGUUCGACGGUGAGGGAUGAAAGCUGGGGGAGCAAACCGGAUUAGAGACCCGAGUAGUCC